rnacentral:misc_RNA from 1 species
UGUAAAGCACUGCUUGAUGUGUUUACUUUACGCCUUAGUGAUUCAUUGGAUGGUACUUUAUAUUUAAUCAAAGCAAGUACAAUUAGAUGGAAUCAACUUUUUAUGCCUCUUAUUAAACUAAGCUUAGUAGUUAUCUCCUUUAUUCAAUGUAGAUUGAGGUAGAAUUUAGAGUUUGUUGUGAUUUGUGUGUAUAUGAUUUCUAUUUUCUAUACUCUAGCCUUUUCAUGAUUUAUUUUGAAUUACUCUCAGUAGUUAUCUCUUAUGUAGUAUUUCAUUUUAGUGUGAAUUUUGAGGUUUUUUAUUCAAUUACGUCUAUUUGAAAAUCAAAAGCAUUAUAAAUGUAAUAUACACAUUUUAAUAAAUAUGCAUCUCAUAUCCCUUAGGUGUGUGCUUGUGCCUUGUGCUUAAGCCCUAGGUACCCUAUGUGCCAUGUACCUUAUAGAACAACUAUUGGCUUUAUCUAUAGUGUCAGGUAGUUAAGACAGAAAGGCGAACAACUGUAGCUUUGUUAUUGUGUGUAAUGAUGCAUUUAUCCAUAUGCCCUGUUUCCAUUUGAAGAUAGUUUUAAGAAUCAUGUGAUAUUUAAUGAGGCAUAUAUCUAAAUGCAAGCUGAGUUAUGGUUUUCCUGUUAUUAUUUCUUUCACUUCAUUUUAAUUAUACUUUUGUGUAUGCUGGAAUGCCUCUUAGGGGUGUGAAUAUGAAGUUUGGAAGAUUUAAGUAUAUAAUUUUAUGUUUUGGGAUUUGGGAAAUGGCAAUAGUCUAAAUUUGAUGCAUAAGCUAUGGGUCUUAAGUUUGAUAAAUCAUUGAGCUUUUGUUGAUUUUCCACACGUUUCACUUUUGGCUUGACUUGCAAAAGAAAAAUAAAGAGCAUUGCGCAUAGCUUAUUGCUGAUUGUUAACAUGCUUCGUGUUUAUAUGAAAUUGAAUGACAAUUACAAACAGAACUUGUAGAGGAUGUGUUGAAGACUAGAAAUGACAUCUUGUUGUUUGGAAUGCAGAGAUGCUCUUGAUGCAUUGGGGUUGGUCCGCUAUUGCUGUAGGCGAAUGCUUAUGACUCAUGUUGACCUCAUUGAGAAGCUUUUGAACUACAAUACUCUGGAGAGAAGUGAGGGCAGUUGAAGGAGGCCAUGGAGGUUACAAGUGUUCUCAAACUAGCUAUCAAAGAUGUGUGGUGACUAUUGUGGAAAUGUAUACAAUGGAGAAGACAUUUGGGAAUGUUUAAAUAUUAUGUGAAUGUUAAUCAUUGUCGUUUUUCUGCCGUUUGAAAACCUAUACAUUAAUCUGGUGUCGGUGUUGUGAGGAACUGUUGAAAUCAUAUUGUCUGCUUCUUGUCCGACACUGUAGGAAAUCUUCUUUAAAAUAGUGAUGUUCACUAUUCUAAUGAUCAGGAUGGUCCUGCCACAGCCUUGCUGCUAGGAUCUAUGGAAAUGCAUGAAAUUAUCAUGCCCCAUUAAAUUUUGGAUUUGCAUUUUAAUAAUUAGCUUCAUUUGCAGAUUUGAGUGAAGUAAAUUAGCUAUUAGUAUGUUGCCCCUGUCUUCACUAUCAAUGCAGCCAACUUUUGUAUUUUCUAAUGAAGCCAAAAGAUGCGUGUAGCCAUUUCUUUAUCAUUACAGGUGGAGGUUGGUCAAUGAUUCUUAACUUGGAGUGAGAACCGAGGAGGUUACCAAUCCCAUCAUUUGGAAUUGAAGAGAGGUUGGUUACUUAUGGUCCCUUAUCCAUGUGACUUGCCUAUUCAUGUAACACUAUGUAUAACAGUAUGCUUCCUGUUAAACAAUAGGAAAUCAUUACAACUUUUAGCCAAGUUAUGGUGAGCGUUUCUGCUGCUAAAUUUUAACAUGUCAGAAUUUA